GAUGAACGCUGGCGGCGUGCCUAAUACAUGCAAGUCGAGCGAACAGACGAGGAGCUUGCUUCUCUGACGUUAGCGGCGGACGGGUGAGUAACACGUGGAUAACCUACCUAUAAGACUGGGAUAACUUCGGGAAACCGGAGCUAAUACCGGAUAAUAUAUUGAACCGCAUGGUUCAAUAGUGAAAGACGGUUUUGCUGUCACUUAUAGAUGGAUCCGCGCCGCAUUAGCUAGUUGGUAAGGUAACGGCUUACCAAGGCAACGAUGCGUAGCCGACCUGAGAGGGUGAUCGGCCACACUUGAACUGAGACACGGUCCAGACUCCUACGGGAGGCAGCAGUAGGGAAUCUUCCGCAAUGGGCGAAAGCUUGACGGAGCAACGCCGCGUGAGUGAUGAAGGUCUUCGGAUCGUAAAACUCUGUUAUUAGGGAAGAACAAAUGUGUAAGUAACUAUGCACGUCUUGACGGUACCUAAUCAGAAAGCCACGGCUAACUACGUG
rnacentral:rRNA from 1 species